rnacentral:rRNA from 1 species
CAGAGGUGGCAAGCGUUGUUCGGAAUUACUGGGCGUAAAGGGCGCGUAGGCGGUCUUUUAAGUUCCGUGUGAAAUCCCUCGGCUCAACUGAGGAACCGCACGGGAAACUGGAAGGCUUGAGUUCGGGAGAGGGAAGCGGAAUUCCGGGUGUAGCGGUGAAAUGCGUAGAUAUCCGGAGGAACACCGGUGGCGAAGGCGGCUUCCUGGACCGACACUGACGCUGAGGCGCGAAAGCUAGGGGAGCAAACGGGAUUAGAUACCCCGGUAGUCCUAGCUGUAAACGAUGAGUGCUGGGUGUAGGGGGUAUUGACCCCCCUGUGCCGAAGCUAACGCAUUAAGCACUCCGCCUGGGGAGUACGGUCGCAAGGCUG